rnacentral:lncRNA from 10 species
GCACCCUGACAUCUGCUUUGUUUUAUAGGGUCUAGAACUGUCUGUUCUUUCUUUACCUCUGGGAAGACUGGGACUUAUGGUGCAGCCACCAGAUAGGAGAUCUGGUGCUGAGCCCCAGGCUGGGGCAGCAGGAAAACCACACCCAGUUACUUCCAGUCUGUUCUCUCUCACCAAGGUUCCCUGUCCCUCCAAGAACUAAUGCACAGAAACUCUCUCACUGGUGGACACUCCAUGGUUAAUAUUCUUCUCUUUUCUUCUGUGAUCAAAAGAAAUUCUGUUUCCUCAUAGAUGCUGGAAGUUCCCUAUGGAGAAAAAAAAUAUUAUUAUUUCUCAUCUUUUUGCACUCAUGGGCUAAGAGCUUCUCAAACCCCAAGGGCUCUGCUCACAAUCACCAAACGAAGGAAAAAGCAGCUGGAAAUGCAGCCCGGAGAUGUGUUCCCAGGAGUUGAGACUCUGGCUCCCGUAGAUUGCACCUCACACACGCACACCCUGUCUGUCUGUGUGCAUUUAGAGCACGUUCUCAAGAUCGAGUCUGAUUCUCACAACGACCCCAAGUAACCACAAUGACAAGUGUGAUGAGUUUCCCACAGUUCACAGAACAAGAUGGGAAGAAUGGUCCAGAAUCAUCCCACAGAUAAACUUCAAGCUGACAACGCCUUGGAUUUCAAGAACUUAAGCCUGCACUUUGCUUCUAUGAGGAACUGCCAAUGUUUUGCCCUCAGGCAAAGAGGAAACCUGAUUUCUUUCCCCUGACCAUGUCUCAGAAUGUCCAGUUCCAGCCGUUAAGAUCUCUCCCCUGCUGCAAUCUGCUAAUUAAGAACAUACUCUGUCACCUCUCUCGCUCUCCCUCUUCAUCUUCCUCUCCCUUUCCCUCUUUUCCCCUCUCUCCACCUCAUUUCUUAAUUUUUCCCUCCUACUCUUCCUCCCUUUCAUAACAUUGCAUCAUUUCUGAUUGUCCUGCUUUGUGAUACAGUUCAGGGAGGUUUGACACAGAGAAGAACUGUCAGUUCUUUAAUCACUUCUUUAUUAUCAAGAUAGGGAGAGAAAUGCCAUUAUCUUUCACAACUUCACUUUGUGGGACAGAUGUAUUUUUAGUAGGCUCCAGAGAACUGAAACAAUUCUAUACAUUAACAUAACUUCAAAAUCAACCACUUUCUCAUUGAUACAAUUUGGAAAUAAACUGAAGUGGGUAUAGUUUCUUGCUCUUCUGUCCCUCCCAGGGGACAACAAUUAGUGAACCAACCACUCAUAUGGAACUCUCAAUUGGCCACGUGAAUAGAGUGAGUGGAGUCAGGAGCACCAGUAGAUUCUUGAGAGAGCAGCCAGUAAUGGGCCAGCAUCAAAGAAGCUGAUGAGGGACUUUUUGCACCCCCACACCUAAAGCAAGAAGAUAUUGAGGGCCCAGACUAAUUACUUCUUUAUUCUAUUCUGGGAUGUCUUCAGAAAUCCUUUCUUCGUGAUGUGCAAUGGAUGCUAUCAUUUCAGUCACCAUGAUGUCGAAGUGGGAAUCGAUAUUUGAGGGGAGGGAAAUAUCCCAACCCUGACCAUCUACUGAACAAUGACUCACCAAUAGCUGCACAACAGUCAGGACAGAGCACAUGUCCGGAAAAUUUCAUUUUAAUUUGCCUCAGCUGGGACUACAGUUACUGUUUGAAAGAAAGAACAAUCAACAAAGUACCUAGGAAAGAAGACAUCUUGCAACACUCUUCAAUUUCUUCUUAAAUGCUUGGGGGAAACGUGAAAAAUUUUGAUAAAUAGGAAAACAAAAUUGUUGGCAAUAAAAUUAAUAAACAGCUUAUAUUUUCUUCCUUUCAAAUU